rnacentral:rRNA from 1 species
GUAGGGUGCAAGCGUUGUCCGGAAUUACUGGGUGUAAAGGGAGCGCAGGCGGACCGGCAAGUUGGAAGUGAAAACUAUGGGCUCAACCCAUAAAUUGCUUUCAAAACUGCUGGCCUUGAGUAGUGCAGAGGUAGGUGGAANAAANAANAUAGCGGUGGAAUGCGUAGAUAUUGGGAGGAACACCAGUGGCGAAGGCGACCUACUGGGCACCAACUGACGCUGAGGCUCGAAAGCAUGGGUAGCAAACAGGAUUAGAUACCCUGGUAGUCCAUGCCGUAAACGAUGAUUACUAGGUGUUGGAGGAUUGACCCCUUCAGUGCCGCAGUUAACACNAUAAGUAAUCCACCUGGGGAGU